rnacentral:tRNA from 1 species
GUGGUUGUGGCUCAGUGGUGGGGCACUUGUCUCACAUGCGUGAAGCACUGGGUUCGAACCUCUGCACCACA